GGCAAGAUGACCGAGCGGUUAAGGUGCCAGACUCAAGCGUUGUAUGACCUUGCUCGCCCCAAAGGCGAUGUGUAUUCUGGUGGGGCAACCCGCGGGAGUUCGAAUCUCCCUCUUGUCA